AGUGAACGCUGGCGGUAGGCCUAACACAUGCAAGUCGAACGGCAGCACAGUAAGAGCUUGCUCUUACGGGUGGCGAGUGGCGGACGGGUGAGGAAUACAUCGGAAUCUACUUUUUCGUGGGGGAUAACGUAGGGAAACUUACGCUAAUACCGCAUACGACCUACGGGUGAAAGCAGGGGAUCUUCGGACCUUGCGCGAUUGAAUGAGCCGAUGUCGGAUUAGCUAGUGGGCGGGGUAAAGGCCCACCAAGGCGACGAUCCGUAGCUGGUCUGAGAGGAUGAUCAGCCACACUGGAACUGAGACACGGUCCAGACUCCUACGGGAGGCAGCAGUGGGGAAUAUUGGACAAUGGGCGCAAGCCUGACCCAGCCAUACCGCGUGGGUGAAGAAGGCCUUCGGGUUGUAAAGCCCUUUUGUUGGGAAAGAAAAGCAGCAGGUUAAUACCCCGCUGUUCUGACGGUACCCAAAGAAUAAGCACCGGCUAACUUCGUG
rnacentral:rRNA from 1 species